rnacentral:rRNA from 1 species
CACCGGCAGCUCUAGUGGUAGCAAUUUUUAUUGGGCCCUAAAGCGUCCGUAGCCGGUUUAAUAAGUCUCUGGUGAAAUCCUGUAGCUUAACUGUGGGAAUUGCUGGAGAUACUAUUAGACUUGAGACCGGGAGAGGUUAGAGGUACUCCCAGGGUAGAGGUGAAAUUCUGUAAUCCUGGGAGGACCGCCUGUUGCGAAGGCGUCUAACUGGAACGGUUCUGACGGUGAGGGACGAAAGUUAGGGGCGCGAACCGGAUUAGAUACCCGCGUAGUCCCUGAGCGGGCUGGCAAGG